AGUAACGCGUGGGCAACCUGCCCCCAUAGAGGGGGACGAACAGCUGGAAACGGCUGCUAAUACCGCAUAACAAGGAGAGAGCGCAUGUUCUUUUCUUCAAAGAUUUAUCGCUAUGGGAUGGACCCGCGUCUGAUUAGCUGGUUGGUGAGGUAACGGCUCACCAAGGCGACGAUCAGUAGCCGGCUUGAGAGAGUGGACGGCCACAUUGGGACUGAGACACGGCCCAGACUCCUACGGGAGGCAGCAG
rnacentral:rRNA from 1 species